rnacentral:rRNA from 1 species
GACGUAGGGGGCGAGCGUUGUCCGGAUUUAUUGGGCGUAAAGCGUGCGUAGGCGGCUGCGCAAGUCGGGUGUGAAACCCCGGGGCUCAACCCCGGAACUGCGUCCGAUACUGCGUGGCUAGAGGUAGGUAGGGGAGAUCGGAAUUCCUGGUGUAGCGGUGAAAUGCGCAGAUAUCAGGAGGAACACCGGUGGCGAAGGCGGAUCUCUGGGCCUUACCUGACGCUCAGGCACGAAAGCUAGGGGAGCGAACAGG